AUAUUAAUUAUUCAAAACUUCUUCAACCUUUCCGUAGAUGAAGGUUAAACUAGUCUUUAGAUUUUUUGAAGAUAUUAGUGAUUCGCUUCGGCUACCAAACACUUUAAUUUCAAUCAGCACAUCAUUAGGACACCAAUGAAGCAGCACUGAUCCUGAGUCAGGAAAGAACUCCCGGCAUUCACAAAAACCAUUCAAAGCAGCCUCCUCUGCUCAUCUCUCCCGCUGCCCCCAUCAGAAAAUCCAUAACCACAACCUUUCCCAGCCUUUAAGCUGCCUCUGGAGAGUCAGGGAAGCCAACGGCAUCAUUGUUCACGCGGCAACUGUGCUGCACCUCGUUGUGCAGAAGCUUGGUGGGCGUCCGUGACUUCAGGAGCCCGUGAGAAGGGGAAGCCGUCGGUAUUGUGCCUCAUGCCAAAGAACCGGACUACCCACCAGGGACAGUUACUUGUCUUUUACAAUACCCAGGAAGUGCCCUUCAUCACAGAUGCUGAAGUUUGACUGUGGCCUUAUGCGGUACAUUGUGCUGACAUAUUUUCUCAUGGGAACUGUUGGGCUAGUUCAGGCAAGUAUCUGCAAUGCUUAAACAGACAGUUUCAGGCUGGAGAAUUUAAGAGACAACCAAAUAGAGUUUUAAUGCCCUGUAAGAUAAUAACGAAAGACAUUUAUGAAAAAAAAAAUUCCAGUUAGUUUGAAAGCCAGGGCCCGCACUCCAUAUUUUGACAGCAGAUGGAUGGCUAGCUUGACUGAUCCUGGUUUACUUUCUGACUUGAAUUUGUCCCCAGUCCAGUGAAAUCAUAAGGGCUCCCUUCAAUCUGGUUAAUGUUCAGAACCAAUGUUUGAGUUUUAGACUAAUUAAGGGGCAACCACUGACAUUUUUUCUAUAAUGUGAAGACUGGUGCCAGCAGUAACUCAGUGAGAUUUAACAUAAAAGCCAGAUAAAACAAUUAAAGUGGAAGAAUAUUUGAUUAAGUGGAUCACUGAUUUAUAGUGAGGUAAAUUGAAAUUGAAAGGAGAGUGAACUUUUUAUGGCAAUCAUAUAUUACGUUCAUUAUCAGAGACUCUGGAUCCUUUGUGCUUUUGUGAUUUAAAAAGAAAUAAACCAGUUUAAGGAGAGUCAUCCUGGCAGGCAUCGUUUGUGUCUUGUCUUGAGUUAUGGUUUCUUUUCAUUGCAAAGGUUAAAUAAAUCAUAUUCAAGAAAACUCAUUGCAAAACACGCAAUCAACAUUUGAAUAGACAAAAAAGUGUAAUAGGGCCACGCAUGGCAAAAUACACACCGGCACUUUUGUUUUGGUGAGCUUGACAUACACUUCAAUCAGCAUUUAUUUGGUAUUUGCAGAAACUGUAGCUGUGGCAACAUCCCUUAAGGGGUCUUGGGUCUGUUGUCUAGAAGAGCCAUAGAUUUGGUAUCAGACCUGGGGAAAUUGUGAAACAG
rnacentral:lncRNA from 1 species